GAGCCACCCUACCUGUGCAGGCCUCAGUCCAGCAUGAGAACAAAGGGAAGAUCCAAUCACCCUGCAGAGAAGCCCAGCUACAAGUCCUUUCUCUGCCUUAACACAGUUAUGGUGGCUGUAUAGUUAGGUUUGCUUCUGAUCAGAGCUAGGUAUCAUAUGAUCUUGCAAACGUAAUUAAGAAACAGACUCCUUAAUCAGAAGUCUGUUUUACCUUUUCUCUCCAUGUUUGUUUUUAGUUAAGGUAUGUAUGCUAGUUGCUCAGUCGUGUCCGACUCUUUGUGAUCCCAUGGACUAUAGCCCUCCAGACUCCUCUGUCCAUGGAAUUCUCCAGGCAAGAAUACUGGAGUGGGUAGCCAUCCCCUUCACCAACAGAAUCUUCCUGACCCAGGGAUCGAACCCAGGUCUCCUGCACUGCAGUCGGAUUCUUUACUAUCUGAGCCAUAUCAAGAACACAACUAAGGAGUCUGCUCAUCUGGGCUGAAUUCUACUGACAUCUCUUACCAGCUGUGUAACCACAGGUGAAGGAUUGCACCUCUGUGCCUCAGUCUUCUCUGCAAAAUGGCUCCUCUGUCCAUGGGAUUCUCCAGGCAAGAAUACUGGAGUGGGUAGCCAUUCCCUUCUCCAAAGGAUCUUCCCAACCCAGCAAUUGAACCCAGGUCUCCUACAUUGCCGGCAGAUUCUUUACCACUGAGCUACCACGGAAGCCCCAGUUAAAAGGAUCCUUUUUGAGCAUCCACUGAUUCUACAGGGCAUCCUUGACAAGCAGACACCGUGGUCCCUCCCCUAGGAUUGCUAUGACAGCCCUCUACACGCUGUGGUGGCGGGCAGCUGAAAAAUUGGACAGGGUGGCUGAGUCUCUGAAAGGU
ensembl:lncRNA